rnacentral:rRNA from 1 species
AAAACUCAAAAACUUAGUCUCAGUUCGGAUUGUAGGCUGAAACUCGCCUACAUGAAGCUGGAGUUGCUAGUAAUCGCGAAUCAGCAUGUCGCGGUGAAUACGUUCCCGGGCCUUGUACACACCGCCCGUCACACCAUGAGAGUUGGCAAUACCCAACGUACGUGAUCUAACCCGCAAGGGAGGAAGCGUCCUAAGGUAGGGUCAGCGAUUGGGGUGAAGUCGUAACAAGGUAGC